rnacentral:rRNA from 1 species
ACAGCUCAAAUUUGAAAUCUGGCCCCCCCGGGGCCCGAGUUGUAAUUUGGAGAGGAUGUUUUCGGGCGGCCGCCGGUCUAAGUCCCUUGGAACAGGGCGUCACAGAGGGUGAGAGUCCCGUACGUGACCGGCCAGGCCCCCUCCGUAAAACUCCUUCGACGAGUCGGGUUGUUUGGGAAUGCAGCCCUAAAUGGGAGGUAAAUUCCUUCUAAAGCUAAAUACCGGCCAGAGACCGAUAGCGCACAAGUAGAGUGAUCGAAAGAUGAAAAGUACUUUGGAAAGAGAGUCAAAAAGCACGUGAAAUUGUUGAAAGGGAAGCGCUUGCGAUCAGUCUCGGCGGCGGCCGUUCGGCCCCUCUUCUGAGCGGCCCACUCGGCCGCCGCCGGGCCAGCAUCAGCCCCGGCGGUCGGACAAAGGCGGGGGGAACGUAGCUCCCCCGGGAGUGUUAUAGCCCCCCGCGCAAUGCGGCCAGCCGGGACUGAGGUCCGCGUCUCGGCUAGGAUGCUGGCGAAAUGGUCGUAAGCGGCCCGUCUUGAAACACGGACCAAGGAGUCUAAAAUUUAUGCGAGUGUUCGGGUGUCAAACCCGUGCGCGCAAUGAAAGUGAACGGAGGUGGGAACCCUCGGGUGCACCAUCGACCGAUCCCGAUGUCAUCGGACGGAUUUGAGUAAGAGCAUAACUUUUGGGACCCGAAAGAUGGUGAACUAUGCCUGAAUAGGGUGAAGCCAGAGGAAACUCUGGUGGAGGCUCGCAGCGGUUCUGACGUGCAAAUCGAUCGUCAAAUUUGGGUAUAGGGGCGAAAGACUAAU